rnacentral:lncRNA from 1 species
UUUUUUUUUUUGGUAGAUAAAAUUGGAGACUUUGGAACAUAUGCAAAUGAAUAAAAGCAAAUGCAGGAACCAAAAAUAAAAGAAAACAGUUGGAAGAAAAAGAGAUAAAACUCAUAUGUUCAGCAGUGCCAUCACAAAUUUCCAGAAUAGCAGUGUUAAAGUGAAAAUGCAGAACUUAUAUUCUAUAUAUAGCUCCCAGUGCUCCAACUAAUUAAUCAGAUUUUUGGAAGGUUAAUGUGAACAAAGAACAAAUUUGAAUUACAAUUGGCCAAUCCAUCUGGAUGUAUCCGUCAUAACUAAAGUUAGAAGCUUCUUUAUUGAGGCUUUAGAACACAAUGUAAAUAUGCAAUGAACUACAGGAAUGCUAAAACAAAGAAAGGAGAAAAGUAAAAAGAGAAAGAGAGCAAAAACUCACCUUGUAUUCAUUCACUGAAUCAUAGCCUAGAACAACAUCAGCCAGCUUUCCUGAAUUCACCAAAAAGAAUUCAUAAUCAGUUCAAAUAAAAAGAAAAGAACUGUGAAGCAAAACCACAACUAAUAGCUAAACAAAUGUUAAAAAACAAACCAUUUUUGUCAGGCAGGAUUAGGGAGAUGAUAGUUGCACCCCAAUUGGUGAAUUUGACAGACAAAUCACCCUUCUUGAGCUCAUAAACACCAAUCUUCUCCUUUGGUUCAUAACCAGAACCAUUAGCAAACCCAGAAGCUACUAGGAUGGUGAUGACCAAACAAAGCAGCACAGAAAUGUUGCCCAUUUUCUUAAUCAACAACAAAAGAAAGAGGCCAAAAUACACCAGAAACACUAAAGGGUACUUAUAAAAGAGAGGCAGCUGAGGGCUCCAGAGACAGAGACAAGUCAGAGGCUCAGAGCAGGCACAUUUUGUUCAUUGUGGCUAAGCUCUUAUGGUGCUUGCCGCUUGUGUAUUGUUUGACUUGGUAUAUGGCAUACAAUGUGCUAAGAUUCUUCUUACUUCAUAGUUCAAAGUGUGGCCCCGGCAAUGCCCCCACCUAAGAGAUGAUGAUACUUCAUAGUAUACGGCUCGUUUUUUAUUUAUUUUUUUUCAAAUACAACUCAUUUUUCCAAGCAUGAUGUGAGAGAUAAGAUUGAAUAAGAUGACCUUUGUCUUGACUCUAUGAUCAUUCAAAAAUAUUUGGCAUCUUAUUUGAGAGAGGUGGAUCACAGCUGAUGAUACAUCCCGUAUGCUUUAGCUCAUAUAGUCUCAUACAGAUAAAGCUGCGACAAAAUGUGAAGCAUGUCAUAUUCAUCUAUGAAAGAUUGAAAGGUAGCUAGGAUUCUCCUUUCUAGCAUGCCAUAUUGACAAAGCUAGACUAUGAUCUUAGAUUCUUAGAGGUUUCCCAGUGUUAGACUAGGUUUUCCAAUGCCUUGACAAUGUUUUGGAUGAACAAGAAAAGUAACAUUUGCAAUCAGAGGAGAGAACUUACACUAUGUUACACAUAAAUGAAAGAGCAGUAAACCCAACAGAAUAUUUUUGAGGUAAUGCAGGAAAGCUUUUACAAGUCAAACACGCCAAUUCCAAAUUUCCAAUCUUGGCUAGCUAUUUGAUAUAGACCCAACCCCAAUUUGUGAAACGACCCAUACACAAACAAAAGGAGAGAGUUCAACUAUAGCAAUAAAAGACGAUACUUCAUAUACUUUUGUCCAUCUUUCAAAUAAUGUACACGAGUUCUGACAUUCACAUAAUCCAACUAUCUAAUCUUUGCAUUUUAUUGAUUAAAGAAAAAACUUGCAUAUUUCGGAUGAACUUUCACCCAGCCUCCGAUUCCUCUUCAGCUUGUUAUCCUUUGCAUGAAAUUGAAAGAAAAACAUAACAUACAGCUAGGAAACCCAUGUUUUUGUUGAUCAGUUUUCUGCCUUUAUAGUUGUAGUUUCAGCUUUGAUGAAUAUGUAGCAUGUGUUCCUCUUGCAGCUUCUUCAACCGCAAACGUUCAACCAAGUCGAUCAAUAUCAAAUCAUGUUUAUAAUUAGGGAAAUACCUUUUCAAAAAUUUAGGGAAAUGCCGUCCCUACAUGAAAUUUCUCCAUUGAAACCUGCUAUAUAAUUUUCUUUUCUAGAUUAAUUAAUCAAUUUGUUACUUAAAUUCCUCAGUUCCUGCUAGUAAAUUAUACGGCUAAAUCCAGAUUGAAAACGAUUUAUUUGUUCCUCCAGAUACGCUUUAUACGCAGACUGACUAAUCGAUUAAUCAAACCUAAGUUUUGCAAUCACGCAUGACGAUAAAUGCGUGCAUAUAUAGACUAAUUCGUUCUGCACUGUUAUCUUCCAAAGCCGGUAACAAUAUAUAUAGUGUCUAUAUAUGAUCAUACAUAAACCACAAGCAACAUCGAUCCUCAUCUAUAUCGAUCUCUGUCCACACCACUUCGAAUAUUAUUGAAGAUGGAAGCAAAUUGAGUGAAAAAAACACAGCUCAACAAUGUCCUACGUACUGUUAAUCAAAGCUGAACUUCAUUUUGCCAUUUUGGUACGUAUAUCUGCUUCAUUUGUUUCGCACAUACUCGCCAAUUUGUCAAAAUCCUGUUUUUAAAAUCACAAUAAUAGAACACCUAGCCUAAUGGAUCACACUCGAACGCCUAUUUGACUUAGUUUCCUUGAGUCGAGCAACAUAAAAAAGAACCAAAUGGGCAUUUUCCCUAAAAAAUAACCAAAGAUUGUUCUCUCAAAUAUAGUACGUGUCUAUAUAUGAUCAUACAUAAACCACAAGCAGCAUCCUCAUCUUAUUAUCUGGAUAUAUAAUCAACCAAAUGUGACCGAUUUCUAUAAACAACAACUUUAUAUAUAUAAACAAGCAAGAUUAUUCAACUUAGAGAUCCCAUUCAACCCUAAUCCCUGUAUAUAUUGCUGACUCUUUGAGAUGAGUACUUACGCAUUUGCUGUUAGAUCCAUGGCAGCUAGGCAUUACAACAAUCUCUUUGCCCUUUCUCUAUUCACCGUUUGUCUAUUUGCUUCCGCAGCCAAUGCAGAUUAUGAUGCAAGUAUCUCUUUCUUUUCUCAUAAAGAACUCAAUUAGGGUUUGUACGUAUGCUGUAAUUAAUUAACUUGUUUCAUAUAAUCAUAUUAUGUUUUAGCAGCAUGGACAUAAUCACAAGGUAACACAGAACUGGUUGAACCACGGUGGUGAUUUGCGUAACAGAAGAUACGCCAAAUACGAAACCAAGAUCAGCCCUGAAACAGUUUCCAAACUACGCUUCAAGUGGGAGUUCAAAGCAGGCCAGGACAUAACUGUAACUCCAUCGAUUUACGACGGUACGCUUUAUUUUCCGAGCUGGAAUGGACAUCUCUACGCCCUCAAAGCUUCCGAUGGGUCUGUAGUUUGGGAAAAGAAUAUGGGAAUAUUAACCGGGCUUAAUUGGACUGGAUUUAUUACCCCUAAUUGGAUCGUGUCAAGAUCAACUCCAACCAUUGCCGGCGAUAAUGAUGAGCUUUUGAUUGUUGGAAUAUAUGGCCCUGCCGUUCUUAUUGCCCUGGAACGAUCAACUGGGAAGCUCGUGUGGUCGGUCAGGCUAGAUAGCCACGCCGCAGGUGCUAUAACCAUGUCCCCAACUUACUACAAAGGGUAAGGUGACUCUUCAUCAAUCACAAAUUAUAGUUGACCUUUCCUAAUUAUUGUUAAUUAAUUAGCUUGCUUCACAUAAUAAUGUCGUUCUAAUAUCAAUAAGGUCAAUGGUGUUGCUUUACAGGAGCAUAUACAUUGGAACGACGUCGGUAGAAGAAGGGGUUAGCCCCGAUGAAUGUUGUACUUUCCGUGGAAGCUUUUCCAAAUUAGACGUCAAAACCGGUGCCGUUUUAUGGCAAACUUACAUGCUGCCGGAUAAUCACGGAAAGUUGGGACAGUAUUCCGGCGCGGCGAUAUGGGGAAGUAGUCCAUCCAUCGACGUCCAUAGAAGGCAUGUAUAUAUCGCUACCGGGAACACGUACUCGGUCCCCGAAUAUAUAAGCCAAUGCCAAGAGAACCAGUUAAAUACUACUAAUUCAAGCGUACCUACUCAUUCAGAUGCGUGUGUUGAGCCUGUUAAUCAUGGCAACUCCAUCCUAGCUCUUGAUAUGGAUACUGGCGAAAUCCAAUGGUACCGUCAGCUGGGUGGCUACGAUGUAUGGUUUCUAGAGUGCUUCCUUAAUACUUCGGUGUGCCCUAUUGGACCGAACGUCGAUGCCGAUUUUGGGGAAGCACCGAUGAUGCUUAGACCAUAUAUCAAUGAAACCAAGCGAGAUAUAGUUGUUGCUGUCCAGAAAAGUGGGUUUGCUUGGGCUCUUGAUCGGAAUAAUGGUAGCCUUGUUUGGUCAACUGUAAGUUUAAGUGCUCUUGCCUUCUACCAUAUAAAUGUCUAAACCCUAAACCCUAAAUGAACCAUCAGAAUUGCUAUUUGUAGGAAGUUGGUCCUGGUGGGAUUCUAGGAGGAGGAUCAUGGGGAGCAGCUACAGACAAGAAAAGGGUGUACACCAACAUAAUCAACAACGGAGGCAAAAACUUCACUCUAAAACCAUCUAACAACGUCACAACUUCCGGUGGAUGGGCUGCAAUGGAUCCCCGGAGUGGAGAGGUCCUGUGGUCGACGGCUAAUCCCAGCAAUGCAUUUUCUGCCGGACCGGUCAGCGUCGCCAAUGGAGUCUUAUUUGGCGGAUCCACAGAUGCAAAUGGAACUGUAUACGCAAUGAACACCCGAACUGGUGAAAUCCUGUGGUCGUAUGAAACCGGAGCAACCGUGUACGGUGGCAUGUCGAUAAGCAAUGGGUGCAUAUACGUUGGCAGUGGAUAUAAAGUUGGUUUUGGAGCUACAAUGCCAAUGUUUACGGCCGGGACCUCCCUAUUUGCCUUCUGUGUCACAUGAAUUACCUCGAUGUAAAUAAUGUUAUCAAUAUAAACAUAAUAAGGUAAAUAUGUUCGCGCUUAAUUAAGGUGAGGUGCGUGCAAAAUCAUAUUUACUUUUAACCCAUAUAGAGGGAAAUGUCAUCUAGCUAGCCAGCUUCAGUGUAUAAUCGUAUGAACAUGCAAUAUCAGACGAGACAUAAGUUUUCUCGCUUAUUGAAGACGAUAAAUUAGGCUGGAUUGACUAAAAGCAAUUGAUUAAGUCUCUUUCAUUUGGGAUUUUAGAAAUGAACCUUGAUGUGACAUUCAUGCCUACCCUAUAUUGGCUAUAUAACAUAAUUUGAUUUCAAGAGUACUAUCUUCAAUGUCUGUAUAUAUUAUAUAUAUAACACCAAACAUAUAACACCAAACUUAUUUAUUAUUGUUCAUCAUGAUCUUAACAUGUACCUGAUUUGAGGACUAGCUAGCUCGUUUAUUAUUUAGAGCAAAUUUAACAGACUCUAUUUUAGCUUUUAGCUAUUUUAGAAGGCGUGUUUAGUUUUUUUUAUAUUUUCGGAGCUCCAGCAGACUAGCCAAAGUUUAACUAUUAUGACUUUUAGCUAUUUUGCUAGCUAAAUAUAAAGAGAGAGAUGACUCAGAUGGGGCUAGCUAUAAUUUAAUACAUUCCUUUAAGAUAUUUUACGUGAUAUAUAAAUAUAUUUAAACUAUUUAAUGUUUAUUUGAAGAAUAAUGUUGAUGUAAUGCUAGAUAAAAUAGAGAACAUUGAUGCAGCCGUGUUUUUAAAGUGGUUAGCCAAAAUGACAUUUUAGCUGAUUUGAUUAAAAUUUAACUUUAAAAUGGCUAGCAUUGCUAAAGAUGCUCUUACCAAACGAAUAAAGAACUCUAGCUAGUUUUCAGCUCAAAAGAUUUAAAGGAGCCACUGCUUCCUUAUUUUAUCCAUUUCUUCCAACAAAAAUAGAAAUAGAAAUCUUACUAAUUAAGGAACGAAGUCAAUGAACAAAACUAGCUUUAAAUAAGAAAAGCCAAUUAUGUUAUACCCAAAUGAAAAAGAAAUCAAAUUGAUAAUUUCCAUACAAUUAAUACCGUAUCCAUUGGUCCUUAAUUUUUAUAUAUAUAUAGAGAAAUUAUCAAAAAUGACCAUAUUUUAGUGCUCAAGAUGAUUUUUGACCAUGUUUUCUUAAACCGUUGAAAAAUGACCACAUGAUGAAAGGAAAUGUCACACUUACCCUUGAUGUAAAUCUCUUAAAUCAGUUUUUCGUCAGGAAGAAAAACUGAUAAGAGAUUUUAUAUCAAGGGCAAGUCUGACAUUUCCCUUCAUCAUGUGGUCAUUUUUCAACGGUUUAAGAAAACAUGGUCAAAAAUCAUCUUGAGCACUAAAAUAUGGUCAUUUUUGAUAAUUUCUAUAUAUAUAUAUAUAUAGCUAGUUGCAUAAUGCCUAUAAAUAUACAAAUUGAUAAAUAUACCUCUCUCUAUACAUAUGUAGUAUAGCCUACAUUGCAAUUUACAUGGCAGCUUUAAGAUUCUACCACUAUCUUUUAGUCCCUUCUCUAUUUUCCUUGUGUCUACUACUUACUCUCAACCCCACUGCCGCAGAUACAAAUGGUUAUAUCACAACACAGAACUGGGAAAACCACGGUGGAGAUAUGUUCAACAGAAGAUACGCCUUCAAGGAGACCAAGAUCAGCCCCGAAACGGUUUCUAAACUCCGCCUGAAGUGGAAGUUUUACGCAGGGGAUCAUAUAACUGCAACGCCGGCAAUUUAUGACAACAGCCUCUACUUUCCGAGCUGGAAUGGCUACAUCUACGCCGUUAGGGCUUCCGAUGGGUCACUCAUUUGGAAGAAGAACUUGCUAGCGUUGACCGGCCUUAACACGACUGGCUUUGUCCAAGCCGUCAACACCACAAUAUCAAGAUCAACUCCGACGAUUGCUGGUGAUCGUGGUGACCUCCUAAUCUUUGGACUCUAUGCACCUGCGGUUGUUGUUGCCGUUGAACGCUCAACUGGGAGGCUCAUUUGGUCAACAUUUCUUGAUAGACAUCCUGCAAGUCUUAUUACCAUGUCCGGAACUUACUACAAAGGGUUGGUAUAAUUUUCAAAUUUUACUUGCUCAAAACAAAUGGCAUGUCCAAACUCUUCAACACUUUUUGCAUUGUUCUGUAUGCUGAAGUACUUAUCUUCAAAAUCACAUUUUAGAGAUCAUUUCUAUAAAACAAUGGAUUCUUGAAGUGUUUAGUCCAAUUAUAACGAAAUAGAUAAUGGUUGGUCAUAAAAAAUUAAUCUAACUAUUAUCAAGAUCAUUUAUUUCUUUGCUGCAGUAAAACUACAUACCAAUAAGCUAUAUCGUAUUUCAGUGACUAUCAAAAAUUGAUUUUAAAACAGGGAAUCGAAUAAUUUGAUCAUGACAUAACGUUGCGGAGUCAAAAAACUACCAAACAAUAAUUGGUAGGGAUAUCAAAAUUGAUUUCGAUCCAAAUAUUGUAUUGAAAUGUUGCUGACGAAGGAUCGGAUCAAACAUCUACAGUUUUUCAAAUUAUAUCAUUCCAUACUAUUACUUAAAUAUGGUUGGAAUGCGACGUUUUCUGAGUACAAUCACAAGAAAGAAAAUGAUAGAAAUAUUGUGAUAACUGAUCUGUUACGUUCAUAUAUGCACUCAAAUUUACGCAGGAGUAUUUAUAUUGGAACGUCAUCGCUAGAGGAAACUGUCAGCGUUGAGAAAUGUUGUACCUUCCGGGGCAGCAUUGCCAAAUUAGACGUUAAAACCGGCUUCAUCUUAUGGCAGACCUUCAUGUUGCCGGACAAUCAUGGAAACUUGGGACAGUAUUCCGGAGCAGCAAUAUGGGGAAGUAGUCCAUCAAUUGAUGUCCUCAGAAAACAUGUCUAUAUUGCUACCGGAAAUACGUAUUCGGUCCCGGAAAAUGUGAGUCAAUGUCAAGAAAAUCAGAACAAUUCAACCGUCCCUACUCGUUCCUAUGCCUGCGUCGAGCCUCAAAACCAUGGCAAUUCAAUCCUGGCACUUGAUUUGGACUCUGGUAAUAUCAAAUGGUACCGGCAGUUGGGUGGCUAUGAUGUAUGGUUUAAGCAGUGUCAGCUUAAUGCUUCGACUUGCCCUCCUGGACCUAAUGUGGAUGCUGAUUUUGGGGAAGCACCUAUGAUGCUUAGUGCACAAGUCAAUGGGAGCUGGCUAGAUAUAGUUGUUGCCGUUCAGAAAAGUGGGUUUGCAUGGGCUCUAAAUCGGAAUAAUGGCCGUCUUGUGUGGUCUACGGUAUGUGACCUUAAUUUACUAAAGUACUAACUAAAAAUUAAUUAAUUAUAGGGGAUACGUAACAUGUUAUGUUAUUAAAUUAUUAAUUAACGACACAAUCGAUAUAGGAAGCUGGGCCUGGUGGCACUGCUGGAGGAGGAACAUGGGGAGCAGCUACUGAUGAGAGAAGGGUGUACACGAACAUUGCUAAUUCUGGUGCCAAUAACUUCACUCUCAAGCCAUCUAGCAAGAUAACAACUUCCGGUGGAUGGGUGGCAAUGGACCCUUGCAGUGGCAAAAUCCUAUGGUCAACGGCAAAUCCCAGAAAUGCAACUGCGUCUGGACCAGUUAGUGUGGCUAAUGGUGUCCUGUUUGGCGGAUCCACAAACCCGCAAGGAAAUAUAUACGCAAUGGACGCCAAAACUGGCAAAAUCUUGUGGUCCUAUGUCACCGGAGCAACCGUGUUUGGUGGCAUGUCUAUAAGCAAUGGCUGCGUUUACAUGGGCAAUGGAUAUAAAUUCCCCUAUACUGCUGGAACCUCGCUGUUCGCCUUCUGUGUCUCAUAAGCAACUCUAAAGCAUCUGCAGAUUACAACAUAGACGUAAAACCAACUGAAUAAACUUCGAUUACUAUAUAUGUAAAAUGAAGUAUUUUAGCAUUCACCAACUCGAAUGGCUACUUGUUGAUGUAAUGCAGCUCUACAUGUAUGACGUAUCUUAUGUCUAGAAGAAGUAUAAUUACUAAUAUAAUAUAAUCUCGUGACUGAUAAUUGUAAUGCAUCAAUAUAGUAUAACAGCAAAACUAUACUUGUAUAAAUACGCAGGAUAAGUCCAACCAUCCAGUGUAACCAGUUUGAGCCUUCACUGGAAUGGCGCCUCUAGGAUUCUGCAGUCCUACUUCUAUCCUUUCUCUAUGUAUGUUCUGUAUAGCUAUGGCACCAAGCUCAGGUUUCAAUAUUGUAAGCCUCUCUAUCACCCUUUCAUUAAUUUGUUCAUUACCUGCUGGUUUGUUCACAAAUUGUUAAUUGACUUGGUUGUUUUCAGUGGCCUUCUGCAGAGAAAUACAAGCCUAGUACUCUAGAUUGGCCAAACCAUGGAGGCGACUUGUAUAACAGAAGAUAUGCUAACACGGAGAAGAAGAUAAGCCCUGCAACAGUUUCCAAUCUCAGUGUGAAGUGGAAAUUCUCUGUGGGAGGUGACAUAACUGUAACACCAGCCAUUGCUGAUGGCAUUCUCUACUUCCCAAGCUGGAAUGGAUAUCUUUACGCUGUUAAACAAUCUGAUGGAUCUCUCGUCUGGAAGAAGAAUGUGCAAGAGUUGACAGGCUUCAAUAACACUGGUUUCAUUCUCAAUGUCAACUCCACAGUGACAAGAUCAACCCCAACAAUCGCCGGUGACCUGCUCAUUUGUGGAAUCUAUGGUCCUGCUUUCGUCAUUGCUGUUAAAAGGUCCAAUGGGAAGCUCGUCUGGUCUACCAGGGUUGAUAACCAUACCAGAGCCUUUGUCACCAUGUCUGGAACCUAUUACAAAGGGUUAGUCAUCAACUUCUCAGUUAGGUUUUGCACUUUUGAUUCUUAGUUUCAACUUUGGGAUCAGAAAUUUUUUGAAAGUAUGGUUUAAAUGUUCAACCCUGUAGCUUAUGCAGUGCUAGUAUACUCAUCAGUAAGUCAAUGGUGUUGCUUCAAAACAAGUUUAAGUUAGGAACAAGAUAAGGAACACCAUGUGGUUCAAGGCUACUUAUUCCUGCUUCUGUAGAAUUAUGAGAAUCUUUUAUGGCAACUUGAUAUAUUAAGUAAUUAAUCAAUAAUCUGCCAAAUAGCUUGCUGUAAACCAUGCUUUCGAUUAAUUAUAUUGUAGUUUCUGUAUACUGUCAACAUAGGUGUUAGACUUUUGUGAAACUCAACAUACAGGCCAGGUCUUUGUUUCAUUAUAUGACAAUGUUUAGAUCCUUUCUAGACACCAGAUUUGUUUUGUGUGAAAACUGAAGAAGUUUAUACUACUCUUACUGCAUAUACAUAUCACAUGUCUAUUUCAUGCUAAUAGUACUGCAUUUAUAAUGGUAUGAUUGACACACAAUCAGUUGAGGCACCAAAUUACAAUUCGUAUAGAAUCUAACUACUGUAUGUACCUUUUGAAAGGGGAUAUUAUGUUGGAACAUCGUCGCUAGAAGAAGGCCUGACAAUCGAUCUGUGCUGCACAUUUCGUGGGAGCUUUCUUAAAUUAGAUGUCAGAACAGGAGCAAUCUUGUGGCAGACCUACAUGCUACCAGACAACUUUGGCAAGUUUGGGGAGUAUGCUGGUGCAGCAAUCUGGGGAAGUAGUCCUUCUAUUGAUGUGAAGCGUAACCUUGUCUACAUUGCCACUUCCAACCUGUAUUCAGCUCCUUCGCAUAUAAUUGAAUGCCAGGAGAGGGAAAACAAUCAAACCAUACCUUCACAGCCAGAUGCCUGCAUUGAGCCUGACAACCACUCCGAGUCUAUUGUAGCUCUUGAUUUAGACACUGGCAAAAUCAAAUGGUACAAGCAGCUAGGAGGCUAUGAUUUAUGGUUUGGUGCAUGCCAUCGACAUUUGGACCCAAGGUGCCCACCCGGUCCAAGUCCAGACGCAGAUUUUGGAGAAGCACCAAUGAUGAUUACCACAAAAAUUAAUGGGACUAAGAAAGACAUUGUAGUUGCUGUUCAGAAAAGUGGGUUUGCAUGGGCUCUAGAUCGAGAUACUGGUAGCAUAGUGUGGUCUACGGUUAGUUUCCUAGUUGAACUAUUGGAUUAACUGAAAUUGGCCUUAUUUCUAUAUGAAUUACUAAACGUGUAAUGCUUUGAUACACAGGAAGCUGGACCAGGAGGUCUAGGAGGAGGAGCCAUGUGGGGUGCAGCCACUGAUGAAAAGAGGGUCUAUACUAACAUUGCCAAUAGCCAACAUAAGAACUUCACCCUAAAACCAUCUCAGAACACUACAAUUGCUGGUGGAUGGGUAGCAAUGGAGGCGCGCAGCGGCAAUAUCUUAUGGUCCACGGCCAAUGCUAAUGAUGCUACCUCCCCGGCUGCAGUUACUGUGGCUAAUGGUGUUGUUUUUGGUGGCUCUACUUACAAAGAAGGACCAAUAUAUGCAAUGAAUGCCAAGACAGGAAAGAUUUUGUGGUCGUAUGAUACAGGAGCAACUGUGUAUGGGGGGAUAUCGGUAAGCAACGGAUGCAUCUACCUCGGAAAUGGUUACAAGGUCUUUAAUGGAUUUGUUAACCCAAAUUACACAGCUGGAACCUCGUUCUAUGCCUUCUGUGUUUAACAACAACAAAUAUCCCCUCAGUGCAACAUGUAUCUUUUCUCUUAGAUAAAUGAUCUACUACUAAUGAGAAUAGUAAAUCUUCUGAAGUUCCUAAUACCACAAGUCUGAUAUCACAGAAAAAAAUAGCGUCCAAUAUCACAUAUCAUUUAUAAUGGUUUGAUCGAUACCUCAAAUAUAGCUUCACCAGAAUUGACAUCCUGGUAAAUGGAAGAAGGAUUAGAAAAAUGCAAGUGUGGAAAGCUACCAGAUUCAACUUGCUGCUGGGAAAAACGUAAUGCUAUCACAACACAAGAACUAAGCAUGCUGAAAGUGCAUCAACAAAAUUGAACUCUGGCGCUCAAAUAAGCAAAAGGUUCACCAUUUGGAGAAUGGCUAAACGAAGUAUGAUAAGAAAUAAUUUGCACAACAAAGAAUCCAGCAAUUCUCAUAUGCAGAUUACUGUAAUGCUCAUAUUUCGAGACCACAAUAAUUAGAGAUCCCCUGAAUGCAGAAUGAAAUUUAGGUCUUCUGCUGCCCAAAUGCCCACUAAGAAAUGCUAGCGGCACAGCACCAUUGGGGGUUAUGAUGCCUUUUGUGAUCACCAAUUUGUAGUGAUCAUACAAAUCCAUACAUAUCAUUGAUUAAAGAACAAAAAUUCAUGUACUAUAUUGAACAAAGUACCUUGCCAGAAAGAAACCCAUGCAGAUUCUUGAAGCCAAGUAAACCAUAAUAGAUUCUUGAAACAGAAAAAGAAACACCCAAAUUAGAAAAUGCAUGUAUGAUCAAAAUCAACAACAUAUACUAAAGUAUCAACAGAGCUUGACUGUAACUGAACCGUUUUUACAUGCAAUGCAAUAGACACACUAUAAAUCAAGAUCAAACAACAAUUUAAAGAGAACACCUUUUUCUUCAUUCUUCAAUUGAACUUGGCACUUGGCAGAGAGCUUUACCUAUCAACUAGUUGAACCAAAAAGAACAGCUUUCAGAAUCGGGUUCGGGGGCCAUCAAGAAUAAACAACUGGACUGUACAGCCCAAACCAAAACGACGACGUCUAAAUUGUAAUCAUCUCCGUCAAAAAAGAAAUCAACUGGACAUGAAAAAGUAGUUUGGAGCGGAGAAUGGUUUGAGUAGGUAAGAAGCAGUAAUGUAAUGGGGAGCCUUCAGAACUUCCGUCUUAAGUCGGAGGAAGAUAAACCAGUCUUCGUUACAUAUAUGGAGUCCAUAUUUCAAGAGGAGUCCCAUCCCAUUCAAGCUAAGAUUUCAAAUACCCUUUGAAAUUACAAAUAUCAUAUAUACAUGUUUCUUCUUGAUUGUAGGUACUUACAUAUGCCGUGAUAAUGAAGAUGUUGAGCAGACGUUGGAGCUUUUCAAGAAAGUUGAUAUGGUGUCGUGAUUUGAUACGCCGCAAGUUCUACACUGGAAAACGAUACAACUCGGAAGAAGGAGGUUGGAUCGAGCAACUCCCAGAUGACGUCAUGCAACUGAUUCUGCAGCGACUGCCCCUGUCGGAUUAUCUGAACUGUCGUGACGUAAGCCGUUGUUGGCGAGCCGCAAUUAACAACAAGCGUUGGCUUCCUGCGCCUCAUCAACUCCCAUGGCUUGUGGUCUCUUCUUGUAUAGGAAGAGACAUGCUCGCAUCCUACAUCAAAAUAGAUGACGACGACGACUUGCGUAUUAAUGUAAGCCAUCAGAAAACUUGGAAAGUAAAAACCGAUCCUCCCGCAGAUUGUUAUUGUGCUGGAUCAGUUGAGGGAUGGCUGAUCAUAACCACUAGUAGAUCAUAUGUUGAGAGGUUCUUCUUCUGGAAUCCAGUAUCAGGUGCUCGAGUUAUGCUCCCAACACAUCAUUCCAGCCUCGGCAGGUUCCCGAAAGUAAAAGUGGUAGCCUCUUCAGUACCAACGACAACAGAGUGUUAUGUGAGUUGCCUUCACUUCAGACAAGAAGGUUGUUUGGCCUUUUGCACGCCCACUGAUAGAUCAUGGACCUUGAUUAAGGCAGAGAAAGCUCUUGAAUUUUGGGAGAUAGAAAUACUUGAUGGGAAAUUAUAUGCGCUAGGUAGAGAAGCAUUAGAGUAUGUGAUGGUGUUUGACAUCCAUUUAGACACACAUGCCUACACAUCACAAAGGUUGGUUACUCUUCACCCCAACAUUAACAGCAUAGUUGAUGGCGGAACCUACCACCGGACAUGUUACUUGGCAAAAUGUUGUGAAUCAAAGGACCUGUUUAUGGUUUUGUGGCAUGAUCGUCCGUACUACCAAAGAUCAUUUCAAGUGUUAAAGUUAGAGAAUAAUAAUAAGUGGGUAGAGAUUGAUGACCUUGGUGAUCAGGCAUUGUUUAUGGCCACGCUCAACAACAAAUUUAUCACUUGUCAUGAUAAAACACUUGAAAGAAACUGUAUCUAUUUUGUUUUACGGAAAAGAUAUGAUUAUGCACUCAACUUUGGGGUGUUUUCCUUGACAGAUAGGAGCUUCAAAACCAUGACUUCUCUCCGGCAUCAUCAUCGAUCUUUUGUGGGCGAUACAACCUAGUGCUUGGUUCACACCGAAUCCUUACUAGCUAGCUAGCUUUUAUGUAAGAAUCUAGUCUUCUUUAAAUUUUUUGUGUUGGUAAUAUUAGUGGCUCAAACUCUUCAGUAGUUCAGUACUCUUUUGAAGACAAGAGAAGCAAGAAAACAAACAAGGAAGAAUGAGAAUAAAUAUCCCCUCGGUGCAAUAUGUAUCUUUUCUCUUAGAUAUAUGAUCUACUAAUACCGAGAACAAAGAAUCUUCAGAAGUUCCUAAUACGGUAAUACACAAGGUGCACAGUGUUUGACAUCACAGAAAUAAAAGCAUUAUCCAAUAUAAGCAUUAUCAAAGAAGGUCUAUACUAACAUUGCCAACAGCCAACAUAAGAACUUCACCCUAAAACCAUCCCAGAACACUACAAUUGCUGGUGGAUGGGUAGCAAUGGAGGCGCGCAGCGGCAAUAUCUUAUGGUCCACGGCCAAUAUUGCUAAUGAUGCUACCUCCCCGGCUGCAGCUACUGUGGCAAAUGGUGUUGUUUUUGGUGGCUCUACUUACAAAGAAGGACCAAUAGAUGCAAUGAAUGCCAAGACAGGAAAGAUUUUGUGGUCGUAUGAUACAGGAGCAACUGUGUAUGGGGGGAUAUCGGUAAGCAACGGAUACAUCUACCUUGGAAAUGGUUACAAGGUCUUUAAUGGAUUUGUUAACCCGAAUUACACUGCAGGAACCUCGUUUUAUGCCUUCUGUGUUUAACAACUACAAAUAUCCCCUGGGGCCUCGGUGCAAUAUGUAUCCUUUCUCUUAGAUAAAUGAUCUGCUAAUAAUGAGAAUAGUAAAUGUUCUGAAGUUAAAAAAUAUACAAGUUAUAAUUAUAAAGAUGGGAAUAAUUAUAAAGAUGUAAAGGGGAUACAGAACUUGAUUUAAAUGUAUAGGCUAUAGUUUUGUGAUAACAACCUAUGCAUUAUUGAUAACAUUUUUCUCAUAUUACUUUCAUUUCACAAAACAGAAAAUGUAUAGAGAGCUCUGAGAAUAAUUAUAAAGAUGGGAUAAUUUCAUAACUUACUUCCAAGAAGGCUGCAUUUGCAGGAUCAUCCACCCUCCGGAUCAGUGGACCAUCAACCAUGACACAGGCAAAACAGCUACAAGCUUACAACAUUAUCAAAUUUGCCAGGACCUAAAACUCAUCAUCACCAGCACCAGGAAACAUAUAAGGCACAACAAAUUCAAGUAACAUAUACAAAAAAUGAAAAAUGUCCAAAACAAGAAUAAAACCAAAACUUAGAAGCAACAAACUAAUAACUUAAACUAGAACAUACAAAAUGCAAUUCGAAACUUAAUUAAGCACAGACGCUCCAAACUUGCUAACACCAAAUCAGUUCUCAUUCCCACAUCACUAACAUACAUUCAUCAAUGGAUAUGCAAUGUGCUGUUUAUAUAAUAUAAUACUCAACAUUUUUAACCCAAUUUUUCACAAAACAACUCGGAAACUAAACCAAUAUACAGUAGCCAUACCAUACCUGCAAUCGAUGACUCUAACAACCUUCCGACUCAGAAAUUAAACCUCAUCUCUCUCUCCCUCCUCAGUCCUCACAGUCCACAGACGCAAAACAAAGAGGGAAACAAUGGCUUAUCAUGUAUCUGUAAAUGUUAUCUUGAUUUAUAGGUUAUAGUUUUGUGAUACACAACUUGAUGUAAAGGGGAACCUUCUGCCUACAGGACUUCCGUCUUAAGUCGGAAGACAAACUAGUUUUCGUUACAUAUAUGGAGUCCAGAUUUCAAGAGGAGUCCCAUCCCGCGAGCUAUUCAAACGUCUUAACGUACCCUUUGUAAUUACACAUACAUAUAUUGAUACACACACACACACACGUACACACGUUUCUUCUUGAUUGUACUUGCAUGCCGUGAAGAUGAAGAUGUUGACCAGACGGAGUUUUUCAAGAAAGUUGAUAUGGUGUCGUGAUUUGAUCCGCUGCAAGUUCUUCACUAGAAAACGAUACGAGUUAGAAGACGAAGGAGAAGGAGGAGGUUGGUUCGAGCAACUCCCAGAUGACAUCAUGCAACUGAUUCUGCAGCGACUGCCCCUGUCGGAUUAUCUGAAUUGUCGUGAGGUAAGCCGUAGUUGGCGAGCCGCAAUUGACAGCAAGCUUUGGCUUCCUGCUGCUCAUCCUCAACUCCCAAGGCUUGUGACCAGUUCUAGACUAGGAAGCGACAUGCUUGCAUCCUACAUCAAAAAAGAUGAUGAUAACUACUUGCGUAUUGUAAGCCAUCCGAAAAUUUGGAAAAUAAAAACCGAUCCUCCCGCAAAUUGUUAUUGUGCUGGAUCAGUUGAGGGAUGGCUGAUCAUAACCACUAGUAGAUCAUAUGUUGAGAGGUUCUUCUUCUGGAAUCCAGUAUCAGGUGCUCGAGUUAAGCUCCCAACACAUCAUCCCAGCCGCGGCAGUUUCCCGGAAGUAAAAGUAGUAGCCUCUUCAGUACCAACGACAACAGAGUGUUAUGUGAGUUGCCUUCACUUCAGACAAGAAGGUUGUUUGGCCUUUUGCACGCCCACUGAUAGAUCAUGGACCUUGAUUAAGGCAGAGAAAGCUCUUGAAUUUUGGGAGAUAGAAAUACUUGAUGGGAAAUUAUAUGCGCUAGGUAGAGAAGCAUUAGAGUAUGUGAUGGUGUUUGACAUCCAUUUAGACACACAUGCCUACACAUCACAAAGGUUGGUUACUCUUCACCCCAACAUUAACAGCAUAGUUGAUGGCGGAACCUACUACCGGACAUGUUACUUGGCAAAAUGUUGUGAAUCAAAGGACCUGUUUAUGGUUUUGUGGCAUGAUGGUCUAUGUCGUCCGAACUACCAAAGAUCAUUGCAAGUGUUAAAGUUAGCGGACAAUAAUAAGUGGGUAGAGAUUAAUGACCUUGGUGAUCGGGCAUUGUUUAUGGCCACGCUCAACAACAAAUUUAUCACUUGUCAUGAUAAAACACUUGAAAGAAACUGUAUCUAUUUUGUUUUACGGAAAAGAUAUGAUUAUGCACACAACUUUGGGGUGUUUUCCUUGACAGAUAGGAGCUUCAAAACUAUGACUUCUCUAGCAUCAAAAAAAAAACUGUGACUUCUCUCCGGCAUUAUCCUCGUCUUUUGUGGGCGAUACAACCUAGUGCUUGGUUCACACCAAAUCCUUACUAGCUAGCUAGCUUUCAUGUAAGAAUUUGGUCUUCUUUAAAUUUUUUGUGUUGGUAAUAUUAGUGUCUCAAACUCUUCAGUACUCUUUUGAAGACAAGAGAAGCAAGAAAACAAACAAGGAAGAAUGAGAAUGAAUAUCCCCUCGGUGCAAUAUGUAUAUUUUCUCUUAGAUAUAUGAUCUACUAAUACUGAGAACAAAGAAUCUUCAGAAGUUCCUAAUACGGUAAUACCACAACUCCACAAGGUGCACAGUGUUUGACAUCACAGAAAUAAAAGCAUUAUCCAAUAUAAUAUAUAGCUAUCAUAUUCAUUUCCAGUGGUUUCAUACCUCAAAUAGCUUCACUAGAAAUGAUAUCCUGGUAAAUGAAAGAGAAAUAGAACAAUGCAAUUGGAAAAGCUACCGUCUUCAAAGUGCAGGAGAAAAUGCAAUGCUAUGACAAGAACUAAGCACACGGAAUAAACAACAUCGAAAGCGCUUUGCAGAUCAAUAAAAGCAAACCAAUAGAGAAUGGCUAAACGAAGCAUAAUAAGAAAUGCUGAGAUGAGUCACAGUUGCAAUGAUGACUGUGACUUACAAUCCGCUCAAUCCCCUAUAUUUUGCACAAACAAAGGAUCAAGCAAUUCUCAUAUUCGGAUUACUAUUAUCCAUACAUUCAACACCAUGAUACAACUACUUUUGGGUUAUGCGGAAAAAUAAACUGUAGAAUGGAAUCGGAAAACUCACAACCACAAAUGUAAAAUAUGGUGGAAAGAAGAUGAUAAAGAACACCAGGAAUUAACGUGGUUCGGCAAAGUGUCUACAUCCACGGGGAAAUAACAACAAAGAAUCUCCACUAUACGAAUAAAGGUUACAGCAAGAGAAACACUACUUCAAAACUCACACUUUGAAAGGAUACACUCUUACACUCACUUUGUUUUCCUACACACACAAACUCUCGACUUGGAGUUUUCUCUCUAUCUCACACUCUUGUAUAACACAAGAUAAACUCACCGGUACACCAAUUGCACCAUUGCUCAUGCCUUUAUAUAGGCAAACUUCUUCACGCAUUUCCCAUGCAAAUCCUUCACGUCCAUGCACAAGGAAGAGAAUUCAAACUUCUUUCUUAAUUCAAGCUUCAAUGUUUGUAUGCACCAUCAAUGCAUCUCCAUUCUUUUUGUUAAACAUUUCAGCCACCCACAAGCCUAUACAUAUAGGCUCUCUCUUGCAUUUCAACAUAUACACACCACCAACUUUGCUAUUCAUAUAGCAUCUUGCCUCUUGGUUAAUUGAAUGGGUCUUGAGGCUUCACCGAAAGGAUUUUCACAUGUAGUAAACCGUAUGACAUCCUCCUCCAAAUAAGGAGGGAAAUUUGACCCAUCAGCUACGUUUCCGACACGUUCCCGGCUGUUUUCGAAGUAUUUCUGGCGUUUCCGGAAACAGAUUCUUAAUCUACAAGGAAACUGGGUACGCAUUGGUAUGGCCUAAAACAGUGGUAAACGGCAGAAAGGUUGCGGAAACUGCCGCAAACUUAUCCGUAAAUAGGUCGGGUAUCCAGGAAUAAUAAUGACUUUUCGUCCCUUCAGUGCAAAAUCAAAAAGUCCAGCCCAAAUCAAAACGACGGCGUUUAAAACAUCUCCAUCCAAAACAGAAAUGAAUAAAGCUUCCGCCGUAGUCUCAGUUCUCGUUAAACCCCGAGAUGGGUUUUCUGAGCAGAGCCUCUAAAACUCUGAAACCACCAAAGAACCUUUCUUUACUCCAAACCCACUUAAACCCUUUAUCUUCUUCUUCUUCUUCUCAUUUACGACGCAACCCAAUUGGCUCUGGCUUCAGAUUCAGCCAAACUUUUUGCUCCCAUUCAAAACAGAACAGCAAAGACGCCGUGGAUUUGAGCCAGUUCCCAACUGAGAGGAUCAGAAACUUCUCCAUCAUCGCCCAUGUCGAUCACGGCAAGUCUACUCUCGCUGAUAGGCUCCUGGAGCUCACUGGGACCAUUAAGAGAGGCCAUGGUCAGCCUCAGUACCUUGACAAGUUGCAGGUAUAUGAAACUUUGAUCAUUGUUUUCUGAUGUUUAGAGGAAGAAAGGUUGUUGCUUUGUUAAUGGGUUUGGUUUUCUUAGCUGAAUAGUGUUGUGUUUUUGGUGAUAAUCUAUGCAUAAAGUUUAUGACUUGAAGAUAUGCCGUUUUGUUAGUGUGGUUUACUUGGUAUAUUAAGAUUUUGAUGUGCUUAGAAUGGUUUAGGAAUGAAGUUGUUGUAUUAUGAAGAAAUGGAAAAUGUAGUUGUGUUUUGUAUGCGGAUUUUGAUUUGGGUUGUUGUAGGUGGAGAGAGAAAGGGGGAUUACUGUAAAGGCGCAGACAGCUACCAUGUUCCACAAGCACAAUUUUCAUGGUGGGGAUAAGGUUGGAGGCAGUGGAGAACCGAGUUUUCUACUGAAUCUGAUUGACACGCCGGGACAUGUGGACUUUAGCUAUGAGGUAUCGAGAUCACUGGCCGCUUGCCAAGGUGCGCUUUUGGUUGUUGAUGCAGCUCAGGGUGUUCAAGCGCAAACUGUGGCAAACUUUUAUCUUGCGUUCGAGUCUAACUUGGCGAUAAUACCUGUCAUCAACAAGAUUGACCAGCCGACUGCUGAUCCUGAACGUGUCAAAGCUCAACUUAAAUCAAUGUUUGAUCUGGACGCAAGUGAUGCUCUUUUAACAUCUGCGAAAACAGGACAGGGUCUUGAGCAUGUCCUUCCCGCAGUCAUAGAACGCAUACCACCUCCUCCUGGGAAGAGUGAUUUGCCUUUGCGGAUGCUUUUGUUGGAUUCAUACUAUGAUGAAUAUAAAGGAGUUAUAUGCCAUGUUGCUGUAGUUGAUGGGAUGCUGCGCAAGGGGGACAAAAUUGCAUCUGCCGCAACUGGCCAAGCUUAUGACAUUUUGGAUGUUGGAAUCAUGCACCCAGAGCUUACUUCCACAGGAGUCCUUCAUACUGGACAAGUUGGGUAUGUUGUGAGUGGCAUGCGUUCGACCAAAGAGGCACGUAUUGGGGACACACUUCAUCAUAAUAAAACCAUCGUCCAGCCCCUGUCAGGUACUUAUAUAUCUAUAUAUAAUUUGUGGUUAAGAUAUUCUAUCAUCCAGCUCCUGAUGGUCUUCAAAUUGUAGGGUUCAAGCCUGCAAAACAUAUGGUGUUUUCUGGUCUUUACCCUGCUGAUGGAUCUGAUUUUGAGGCACUUAACCAUGCAAUCGAGAGACUGACCUGCAACGAUGCUAGUGUCUCUGUUACUAGAGAGAGUAGCACGGCACUAGGUCUGGGUUUUAGGUAUGUAACUUACUACUAAACCAGUUAAACCUUUUUGCACCUGCAAAAAUGAAGGCAUUUGCGUCUACCAUGAUUAAUAUUCAAGAUUUCAAUAUAUUUUAAAUGUUAUGAUGACUAACUUGUGGAACUGCAGGUGUGGUUUCUUAGGUUUACUUCACAUGGAUGUUUUUCACCAGCGACUUGAACAGGUAACCAAAUAGUUAUUCUAGGGAUAUUUUAAAGAGCUUUUCUUGAUGAAGGAAUCGCUUCUGUAUGAAAAAGACACAAUUAAGAGGUCUAAUGUUCCUACAUUGUGAAAAAAAAAAAGAACUUUUCUUAAUACACCAGAAUGAAAACUUUAUGAUAUUUUUCAUCCGAAAGCAUUUUCUUGAAGAGAAAGAAAUUCAUUGAACUUAUUGAUUGCAUAUUUAACAUUCAGUUAUAUUCACUUACAAAUGAUGUGGAUGACAGGAACAUGGAGCUCAUGUAAUUUCUACCAUUCCAACUGUUCCCUAUAUUUAUGAGUAUUCUGAUGGGAGGUAUGUCUUACAUGCUAUUCUUUGUAAAAUUUUCAUUCAUAUGGUUUUACCAAACAUAAUAUUGGUUCUGUUCUAGCAAAGUAGAAGUUCAGAAUCCUGCCGCGUUGGUUGCAAACUCCAAGAAACAAGUAACAGCCUGUUGGGAACCUACAGUUCUAGCUACUAUCAUUAUUCCUAGUGAGUAAGCUCUCGCACACCCUUAGCAUGUCUUUUUUCCCUCUCCACCCUGGGAGGCAGUUAUUCAUACAGUAGACUCCAUAGUUAAUUUGUUGUCCAAUUGAAGGUAUGUGGGGGCUGUAAUCACCCUCUGCUCUGAGCGGAGAGGUCAGCAGUUGGAGUAUACUUUCAUAGACAGGUAACUUUUAUGAAAUGUCAAAUUGAAAGAUGAAAAUAUCCCUACGUUUAUAUAUACAUAUAUAUUUUUGCUUCAAGCAUCUUGCUUUAUUGUCUCCUGCCUCACCAACCAUUGAAUCAAAAUCCAGCUGCUAACAUUUAGUUAUAAAAAGAAUAUUACUUCAACAGAAUUUUGUUAGCAGCUGUUACAUUUUGACCCAAAGUUUGGUGAGCAUGGAUUUCGUGCUCAUAAGAUCUAAAUUGUGUGUAUUAAUGGACAUGUGUUGGUUCGAGACAUUUACAUAAUUUUUGGGAUGUUACCUUACCUACUCAUAUAGUUUAUUUGUUCUUUCUGCUUGUCUGUGAUUGAUAUAUUGUAAUCUGAUCUAUGCAGUCAACGAGCCUUCAUGAAGUACCGCUUGCCUUUGAGGGAGAUUGUUGUCGACUUUUACAAUGAAUUGAAGAGUAUUACAUCAGGAUAUGCAACAUUUGAUUAUGAGGACUCAGAGUAAGUUUCAACUCUCUCAUUCACACACCACACAUCUACUAGAAAAACCCACCAGUCAGAUAAGGAUAAUAUACUAGUGUCAAGCAAAGGGAUUCAACUGUUGAUUGGUAUCUGAUAAAUUGGUGCUGCAACUUUUUAAGUCAGCAUAAUCAGAAUGAGUAGCAUACUACUAUUAAAUGCUUAAGUAGAGCAAUUCCUCUUGUAAGUUGAUGGUUAAACUUGAAACUGAAAGCAAAAACCAGAACCGUAUUGCAUUUGUAUUGCUAUAGUAGUGUUUAUCAUGGCUGAUACUGGGCAGCAGUUCAUGGUUUCAUCACUGCAGUUGCUUAGCUAGGAUGAACUGUUAUUUUUUAUAUAUGGUAACUGCAAACUCCUUUCAUUCCCUCUGAUUGAAAUACAACAGAUAUCAGCAAUCUGAUAUGGUCAAACUUGAUAUCCUUCUGAAUGGACAACCAGUCGAUGCUAUGGCAACUAUUGUUCAUAAUUUGAAGGCGCAACGUAUUGGUCGUGAACUGGUGGAGAAGCUGAAGAAAUAUAUAGACAGGUAUGCUGAGCUAUACUGAAUUGUAAUUUCUUCCAUCUUUGUUCCUUUUCCCAGUAUGACGAGAUAUUUGAUUUUGAGCAGGCAAAUGUUUGAGAUAACUAUACAAGCUGCAAUUGGAACAAAGGUUGUUGCAAGGGAGACGUGAGUAUUAUUUAAAAUUUCUGCUUCUCAUGCUACGACUAUUCAAAUACUGUUGAGCUAAACUUCUCUAUGUUUUGUCUUAGGAUUUCUGCUAUGAGAAAAAAUGUUCUUGCCAAGUGUUAUGGUGGUGAUGUUUCUCGAAAGAGGAAGCUAUUAGACAAGCAAAAGGAAGGGAAGAAGCGAAUGAAGCGUGUUGGUUCUAUAGAUAUACCUCAGGAGGCAUUUCACGAACUACUAAAGAGUUCAUAGGAAACAAUCUGAAUAGCCGAUGGUAACAGACCGAUUCUUACUGUGUUCCUUUUGCAUUUGUAUGUUGUCAAAAUUAUCUAUUGCACCAGUACCAUUUACCAGAAUUUUUGUCUGACUGAGUAAAUUAUGUCUUUCAUUCCAAAAAAUUUGGUAGCAUGAGAGGAAGUUUUCAAAUAUUUCUAAUUUCAUGGGUUAGUGAAAUUAGUUACAAACUUACAAGGUUUCAUUUUGGUAGCACACUUACAUGUGGAUACUCAUACUUGUAGGCCUAUAGUUUAUGUGGCUUAUUGUUGGAGCCAACCUUCAGGGUUUUACAGAAAAAGAUUACUUUGGCUUGCCUUCACGGUGAGGAAGAUAACGAGGUAGAGGAAGCUGUUGGAAUAUCAAAAUUAAAUAAUGUGGUGCAUUGGCUUCAAAGAGGCCAUCUUAUGAGUUAUCAAAGUUUUGGAGUGGAGGAAGACCGAUUUUUUUAUCAAUACUGGUAGUUUCUUCCUUCUUACAGAUCGCGCUGCGGUUGUAAUAUAUUGAUUUAUAGAUCCUGGUCAAAUAAUGUCUCUGGUUAGUUGAUAGAGUAAACUGUCUAAGUUGCAACUUUGUCUUCUGAAUGCCCAUCAGAGCUUAUUUAUUUUUUCUGAACAGUCAUACUUUGUAUCUAGCAGCCAGUUGGUAGUGUGCUGCAAUAUUAUUGAUUGACAAUCAUAUUUUCAGAACAGGGUGAGCCUGUGAAUAAACUCCUACAUCUUUUGAUUACAGUAACUACUGGUAAAUUUGACAUAUCUAACAUGUGAUCUUGUCAAACUGUUGAUCUAGACCACGCAUUUGAUAGUCCAUAUUGAGGGUCUGACAAAAUAACAUCUGAGAUUGUCUAACUAGCGGAAUUUCAAUUUCUGAUCACAUAAUUUAGAGACUUUUAUCCCUGAUGGCAGGGGAAGAUGUAGUGCUCUUGGACUCGGGAAAUGGCAGUGGAGGCUGGAGAAGCGUCAAGUUUCCCUUCUGAGAAUCAGAAGAUGACAAGCUGUUGAAAAUGCUUGAUGAGCGGCUUUUCCCAGUCUGUGUCAAGUGUUGUCCUAAUCUUUCCCCUAUUCCUUGGCUUCCAUAACUUGCUGCACCACCUCCAACCAUAGAUGAAAGCGCUACAGCAAUGACUGACUUGAAAUUUGGGUCUGAUGUGAUUGCCUUGGUCAAUGUCUCUGUUAAGGACACCUGGGAAGAGGCUUGGUGAUUGGGUUGGAAACACUCUUGGUUCUUUCUGUCAAACUGCGUCCCAAAUCUGGGGUACACGUUGCCCCAACUGGGUGGUAAAUUGCUGUUAGAUUCUGAGGAACAAAAGCUUAGACUUGGAGGAAAUGUGCAGUAUUGGUUUGAUGAAGGGGAAGGAGAAGAUGUGAGGUCUAGAGUAACUGUGGGAAACAAAGGGGAGGAGGAAAGCUUAGGCAUGUAAAGUUGUUGUCUCGAAUUAUCAAAGAGACCAAAACCUAGUCCAUUACUGGAACCAAGACCUGGAAGCUGAGAUGUCAAAGAGCCAGACAAUAACAUGGAAGCUGCGGCAGAGGUGGUGGAAGCCAUGGAAGUGGCUGUCAUUGGAAGUGGGUGGUUGUGGGUUCCUUCAUAGGUGGUGAUCAAGAUAGACAUGUCAUCAAUACAUCUUUGCACCUGAAAAAUCAUAUGAAAAGUUAAAACACAUUAGCUUAAAAAAAAACUGUUCAAUUGUAGUGACAGGAACUUGAAUGUCAUCUUUGUAACAAGAAUUUAACCUGCUUUCUAACAGGGCAUCCUGGUGCAACCGUGCAUCGGUAGUAUGCUCGCGGGCAUGGAUUUCCUUUCGCAAUCUUCUGUCCGUAUUUUCUCCAUUGGCAUCCAUCAAUCAUCUGUAAAAAAAAUUAAGCAGAAGUAUUUUAACAAAAGCAAUUCUUAUAUGAGAGGAAAAAAAUUCAUGUGGAGUGUAGUAGUACCGUGGGGGUGUCACAUCGAGCUCUCACAGAAACCCUAGCUCUUUUUGCAGCAUUGGCCUGCUGCGAAGCAUCAUCAUCUUCAUUUCUUAUUGUCUUUGGUGUUUUAGUACUUGAUGGGGAGGCUUCUGAUUCCUUAGGCUCUUCGGAACUAGUCUCCGGAAUCGGACCGCUCAAUACAAGCUCGGUAGGCAACUGCAACUUAGAGCCUAAUCCAAGAGUAAGGUUGGCCUUCGAGUCUUGGUGAUGAUCAGCUUGUACAAGUUUGCCCUCAUCACUAACAUUUUUAGGGUCUCUUGGGCUUCUUCCAAGGCAAAGAGACAAGAGCUGAUCAUGAGGUUCUUCAAUUUCAACAUGGGAGGUGGUGGCACUCAUUGUUGCCUUCUUGGAAUGAGACUCUUGUUUGAGGAUGUCAAAAAAGCGCAACUGUAGAGACUGGUAAUCCUUCGUCAUAUGCUCCAACGUCUUCUUCAGUCUCGCAUUUUCUUCUCUGACCUCACUCAUUUCGGCUUUGGCAUUAACAAGUUCAUAAUUCUCCUAUCAAAAUAAACAUGAAAAAAUCAAAAUCAAAAACAAAUUAAUCGAGGUUCUACUCUUUAAUUUACAUCAGAACUGUCUGCAUGCAUCUCUUUCAUAGAGUAAUACCUAAGAUGAUAUAUAUCAGUGAGUGAUUCAAUGAAACUAUUUGGAAUAUGAUCAACGACGAUCGAUUCGAUCCUGGCUAGCUAGGAGAUCGAAGAUCAAAAUUAAACAUCAAUUAAAUUAGGAGAUCGAUGAAGGUAACCAAGACAUGAUGAACAGACAUACCUGCCCUUCUUGGUAGCCGAAGGAUUCAACCUUCGUUCCAACAGCUGCUGCUGCUGUUGAAUCAGAGUUUGGCAUUCUCUAUGAUAUAGCUCUCUCUUGCUUUAUAUAUAGAGCAGACAGCAGCAGGUUUGUACUUUUGCUCUCUAACCCAGAUUAUUCUCGCUUACAACACAAACAACUUGAUUAUAAAUAUCCACAGGAGGAGGUAGAGAUGAAGUACAUGGGGUUAAUUAACCACCCAUUACUUUCAGACGUUUAAGUUUAAAUUAUCCAAGUCGACGAACCAGGUAAUAUAAUCAUCUUAUUGAGCUCAUUACGCAGGCACAGAAAAAAUGUCAACUCUCUGCAUCAAGCCACAGUCCUUUUUUUAAUACCUAUUCUUCCGGAUUAGCUAAGAUUAAUAAAUUAACAAGGAUUUUUCAUGUUUCAAUUUCCACAGUUGAGGGACAUAUUGAUGAUGAGCUUCCAGAGAGCUUAAUACGCGGGCACAGCCAACUUGUAUCCAUGUAUUCUAGAAUACAUAUAACUAUACAUAUACAUUAGAAGACUUGUAUAAGUAGUACUACAUGCAUGUCUACAUCUUUGAUGCUUCGUACAGGUUUGAAUUCACAUGGCUAAUUAAGUCAAGCCAGUCGGGAUCGUGUGGAUUUGUAGCAAUGCUGAUCGAGAGGAGAAGGCAGCUAGCUAGCUGCAGCAGCAGCAGCAGCCUAAAAAUAAUAAGCUAUUCAUGAGUGUCAGCAGUCAAUACGCUUUGCCAUAAACGGGGUGAGACUUCAGUACUUCACUGAUUAUCUUUAUACUUCAUUUACUUGAUUAAUAUUAUUGGGUGAUCACACAAAAUAUUGAAGGAGAAAAUGCAGUGUAGAUAUAUUAGUUAGAAAAUGCAGUGUAGAUAUAUUGUUUGCUACCUAAGAUUUUCGUUUUGUUUUAAAAUAGAAAUUGAUUUCAUUAAUAUCAAUAGACGGCAUAUGUUAAAAGCUAAGAGUUAAACAACUCCGUAUAUAUAUUUGUGAUGAGCUCGUUUUAGAAGCGACUUAAGCUUACAAAAUAAAGAAAUAUGCAUAACUCGUACUAGAUCGAUUUCACAAUUAUGUCGAUCGGCAUGUCAAGUUUUUCAUAUUUGUUCUCUAAGUUUUUCAUAUUUGUUUUUCAUAGGCGUGUAAUAACAUGUACUUUGAAGGUUUUUCUCUUCUAGGCUCCUGUAUUUUUUAAUCAAUUGACGACCUAGUUUAGAUUAAAACCCGGCCACCUCUUAAUGCUUUAGACUAUAAUUGAUCAUCUUGGGAUCUGAGUAUAGCAGGAUUUGUAAUAGCUUGUUUGGAUCUGCUCAUGCAAAUCUCAUCCAUUACUGUUUGAGAUCGACACCAUAUGUAUAUGUUGAAUAUCAAAAUGAACGUGAUCUUUUGAAACUCUAACCCCAGAAAGAAAAAUUAGUGAUGUUUUGAAACUAUGAGAGACGAUUGUUUGUAUUAUUAAACUUGCAUAUGAUCACAAUGAUAUCAUUACGGUUCUUAAGUAAAUCAAAUUUUAUAACAUAUCAGAGAGACUGAUACAAACCAAAUUGUCCUACAUAUAUAUAUGACUUUUAGGGUUUGUGUUUAUUACAUACAGUGACCAUCUACCUAAGACAAAGGCUAGCUUUACUAAAAAAAAAAAAAAAUCUGGAACCCAUUCCCAUUAGCUAUCAAUAUGAUGAUUGCAUAUGAAAUUUAUGCAAGUUACCAGAGCUAGCUCAAAUUAUGAUGGAAAAUUUGGUGUAUCCUAGCUAGUAAUUCGUAUUGUUAUUUUUGUAGUAAUACUUGAGCUUUUUUUAUAUAUUUUAUACUGUAUAUUAGUUUUUUUUUUUUUUUAAUUUGAAACCCAACUAGAGGCUCAAUAUACUGUAUAUAUGUUGUGAUCUUGACUAAUAAGAGUACACCAAUGACCUUGUCAUCUAGGGCAAACAACCUGGAAGACCAUUUCCAUAGGGAAACAUCUGCAGACUGAAAAAGUUGAACCUGCUUAAUAUAUCCAUCAAACCCUUCAACUCGAUCUUUAAUGAAAACUUGUCAAAGGAGUCAUAUAUAUGACUAGUAUGACUAAUUUCUAAACCAAGGAAUUGCAGCUAGUCCGUCGAUCACUUAGUCGCAACUGAUGACUACUUCUCGAUCUGAUACAGAUAAUAAGUACACGUACUAGAACAUCCAUAUAUACCGUCCAAUACCAACUAGCAUAUAUUGGAUCAAACUAAACCAGGUAUAUUAAUCCUAAUUGUAAUUUAUUUAUGAAAUAAAUCAAACACUAGCUAGCACGACCGUCAACUUUCUAAAGUUAAUUUGUUUGUUACAACUUGCUUGUUGGAGAAAUUUUGAAGAGACAUCGAGCUAUAUUGUUAUAGCUCAGGGCUGACCCUUUGAUUCUUCAAUGGACAACUAACUGAUUGAGAUACAGUCUUCUAUCGUGUAAUUACCAAGUAAAAAGGAAUUUUUCUUAUAUCACGAUGGCUUUUGAUAUAAAAAUUAGAAGUCGUAAUAUCAUAUUAGGCGUGAAAUAUGUCGUUUAUAUAUAUAUGGUAUGAACUUUUCUACUAUACAUAUAUGUAUAGCAUACAUAAAGCCAUGAACCGUCCGAUCGUCUUGAAUUUUGAAUUAGUAAACAAUCGGACGGCUCACGGCUUGAUAUAUGUCAUAUAAAUGUGUAUAGCAGCUGAACUCAUGUAUAUAUCCUUUCACUAAAAACUUUAUUUACAUAAUCAAUUGGAAUUGAAAAUUAUUUGAAGUGCGCCUCUCUUCAAGGUGUUUAGGUUAGGUGAUAGAAACAUAACAGCGAGGUCACAGAUCAUAUAUAUUGGUAGAAAAUGUUAGUAGAUUAUUCCAUUUAGAAGGGUCUUACAUGUAGUCCUAGUCUUGGGCGUAGGUAACAUGAAGUUUACUGGCGUCUGCAUAAUUGGAUUGACUCUCAUAACAUAUAUACAAGGUGAUGUUAUAUAUAUAUAUAUAUAUAUAUAUAUAUAUAUAUAUAUAUAUAUAUAGUACGUACNNNNNNNNNNNNNNNNNNNNNNNNNNNNNNNNNNNNNNNNNNNNNNNNNNNNNNNNNNNNNNNNNNNNNNNNNNNNNNNNNNNNNNNNNNNNNNNNNNNNNNNNNNNNNNNNNNGAGAGAGAGAGAGAUUAAAUUGUGAAUACAUGAGGUUUGUUUUUUAAGUCCUAGUCUUGCUGGUUGCUAUCAUAGGAAGAGACUUAAGAGCCAUGUGGUGCUUAUUAUAAUGAACUAUGUCAAUGCUCUUAAUUUAAUUUAGUGAAUUAACAAAUCUGCAGUUUUCAAAUCCUCAGCAAAUAGAGAGACCUUACUUGCAUCUUAUGAUUAUCAAUUCAUCAUUAUUGAGUGUCAUCUAUAAUAUAUGGCUGGAUGCUAGCUAGAGUACUAUGUUGGUUUAGUGUGUAAUCUGAGAUCUAUGAUCAUGAGUCUACGGAUAUUAAGCAAUUCUAUAACAUUCGUUAAAGUAAAGUUUUGGCUCUCUUUGUGUGAGAUCACUAAUAACAUAAUUUAAUAAUCUCAAUCAUUCAUCUUUAAGUUCCUAUUGGAACCACUAAUUAAGUUUCUAUUGGAACGACAAUGGUAAACGUUUUUGUCAUUUGAUUAUCUUUGAUCUUCAUUCACAUCUUGGUUUACACGUACAUUUUAAUUUACACAAGGAAAUGAAGAGCGGCAAAACAAACAAUGCAAACUGACAUUGCCCAAAGGAUGCAAAUGACCUCAUGGGUUAUAUAUGCAAAUCCACUUAAAAAUUCUUUUUUCAGACUGAUAGAGUGAUUGGCAUCCUGAAGGCCCUCAAUCCUUUUCUCUUUUUUUUGGAAUUAAUGAAAUUCUUCAUUAAUGGUUCAGAGGGUUAAACCUAAAGGAAGAGCCUAAAAAAGCCCAAAGUACAAUCACUAUAAUAAUAUUAGAUAACUUAUCACUCAGCCCAAUCCACAAUGAUAAGGUAAAAGGGGGUAACCCUAAAAAUAAAAUUAAAAUUACAUCAUCUUCUACACUUCUAACACAGCUGUCGUCACCAAAGAAAAACUCAGCUACGGCCAAAAAAGGCCCUCAAUCCUUUAGGUCUAAAUGCAUCUGACAUCAAUGGCCCAAUAUCAUCUUGCAUUAUCAGAAGGUAAUUAAGGCAAAUAUAUGUAGGCUUGUUUGUUACUCAAGAGUAUUGCAUAUGAAUUUGACUUCUUUGCGUGGAUCUAUGUUGUUUGGAUGUCUUACUAUUGGAGUGAGUAUAAUCCGAAGCCACAACGUCAUCUUUACUCAAUCCAAUAAUUAUAAGACAUUCAGGUAAAUCUAAACUGAGAAGUUCAUUGGGUAUACCACCUUAAUUGCUACUACUAUCCUGGAUUUGUGGAGGUGAGACUAAGGUGUAGUACUUUUGUACUACGUUUGGAAGUGAAAGAUACUAGAAACUUAGUGACAGUGUGGAAGGAGAGAACCGAGUCCCUUUUCAUUGUUCGGAUAGUGUUGCCUUCUAUCACCUUCAAUUCAUCCCUUCCCAUACUUGAAAACUGCAAAACUCAUAAUCAAAAUCUCUCUUGAAACUCCAAUUCAAAGAAUUCAAGGCCAAAAGGAUGACCAUCCGACGACAAGCAUAUUUAAGUGUUUUGGCCACGAUCCUCAGCAGGGGUAGAGAGGUAACUUGUGCUACCAAAAAGUAAAUUAGGGUUUGCAGGGCGUGCCACCGCGCGGACGCGGAACGAGAACGGUGCGCGUUCUUGACUUCUAAUCAGGCGAAGUAGAGCUCCGGUGUCACCUCGCGGGCGAGGAAUUACGAGCAAACUAUCUAGUCACCUGUGAAUCGAUACUCACUGUUCGAAGCGAGCAGAGCAACAAUUGGGAAAGAGAGGCGAGUCCAGACGGGCUCUGAGAUCUAAGGCGAGGUGCACUUAGAACUUAGGGUUUCGAGGAUGCUCGAAGAUUUGCAGUUGUUUUGUAUGAUUGAUUGUGUGUGUAGUGUGCUAAACCAGAUCCUCGAACUCUCUUAUAUAGCGAUCCGUAAGCAAUUCGCAGAGACCUAAUCACAAAUCCAUUCGGACUCAGCAAUUAGAAUUCCACCAGGAACGACUAGCUCCCGAGCCGCGCGAUNNNNNNNNNNNNNNNNNNNNNNNNNNNNNNNNNNNNNNNNNNNNNNNNNNNNNNNNNNNNNNNNNNNNNNNNNNNNNNNNNNNNNNNNNNNNNNNNNNNNNNNNNNNNNNNNNNNNNNNNNNNNNNNNNNNNNNNNNNNNNNNNNNNNNNNNNNNNNNNNNNNNNNNNNNNNNNNNNNNNNNNNNNNNNNNNNNNNNNNNNNNNNNNNNNNNNNNNNNNNNNNNNNNNNNNNNNNNNNNNNNNNNNNNNNNNNNNNNNNNNNNNNNNNNNNNNNNNNNNNNNNNNNNNNNNNNNNNNNNNNNNNNNNNNNNNNNNNNNNNNNNNNNNNNNNNNNNNNNNNNNNNNNNNNNNNNNNNNNNNNNNNNNNNNNNNNNNNNNNNNNNNNNNNNNNNNNNNNNNNNNNNNNNNNNNNNNNNNNNNNNNNNNNNNNNNNNNNNNNNNNNNNNNNNNNNNNNNNNNNNNNNNNNNNNNNNNNNNNNNNNNNNNNNNNNNNNNNNNNNNNNNNNNNNNNNNNNNNNNNNNNNNNNNNNNNNNNNNNNNNNNNNNNNNNNNNNNNNNNNNNNNNNNNNNNNNNNNNNNNNNNNNNNNNNNNNNNNNNNNNNNNNNNNNNNNNNNNNNNNNNNNNNNNNNNNNNNNNNNNNNNNNNNNNNNNNNNNNNNNNNNNNNNNNNNNNNNNNNNNNNNNNNNNNNNNNNNNNNNNNNNNNNNNNNNNNNNNNNNNNNNNNNNNNNNNNNNNNNNNNNNNNNNNNNNNNNNNNNNNNNNNNNNNNNNNNNNNNNNNNNNNNNNNNNNNNNNNNNNNNNNNNNNNNNNNNNNNNNNNNNNNNNNNNNNNNNNNNNNNNNNNNNNNNNNNNNNNNNNNNNNNNNNNNNNNNNNNNNNNNNNNNNNNNNNNNNNNNNNNNNNNNNNNNNNNNNNAGAACGCGAUGGCGCGUAGCACUAUUGACUGUGGUGACGGGGUCUGGGGGAGGCGGAGGAUCCUCGCGUUCCCAAACUCCUGCAAUGUGGCGCUUGAGGAAGCGGCCAUUAAUAGGAUUGCGAUGAAUGGUACCGUCCAAGUCGCGCAAGUGGUAUGCCCCCUUGGGGAGUAUACGAUGAAUAAUAAAGGGGCCUUCCCAUCGAGCAAACCACUUGUCCCGACCGUCGGUUUUGUCCCCAAGUGGGAGUACCGCGCGCCACACUUUCUGGCCCUCAGCAUAGCUCCGUCCGCGCGUGACCUUAUCAUACGAACGUGCGAUGCGUUGUUUCUCGAGGACGAGAUUGUUGAAAGCGGUGACGUGGUGCUCGUCAAGAUCUUCAAGUUCCUGCCACAUGGCCUGGACGUAAUCCUCGCCAAGUAGUUGAUGCUGUUCCUGAACGCGGAGUGAAGCGAUAUUGAUCUCAAGGGGAAGGACGGCAUCGUGGCCGUACAUGAGAGCGUAAUAUGGCGUAGAGUGGAGAAGCUUGAUUCCGUAGUCGUUUAAGUACUUAACAACUGAAUCAGCCAUGAAAGCUGCCCCCCUGUCCGUAACGAUGCACUCCGGGAUACCAAAGCGGGGGAUGAUAUUGCGGAAAAUAAAGUUGCGCACCGAGUUGGCGGAGGCAACCUUGAGUGGUUCGGCCUCGACCCAUUUGGUAAAGAAAUCGGUGGAGACGAUAAUGAACUUAUGCUGCUCAGAAGAAUGGGGAUGAAUGAUGCCAACGAAAUCUAUCGCCCAACCGCGACCCGGCCAAGGUUUAAUGAUAGGCUGCAACGGGAUGUUGGGAAUAUGUUGCACUGGUCCGUGAGCCUGGCAGUCUUGGCAACCUUUGGCGAAGGCAAUACAGUCUUUCAGAAUGGUUGGCCAGUAGUACCCAUGGCGACGGAUUAACCAACGCAUUUUUUGCCCGGCCUGGUGCGAACUGCAAACUCCACAAUGGACUUCGCGCAUGAUACGUUUAGCUUCGUUCCCAUACACGCAGCGGAAAUCGUUUCCGUCUUCCCCACGCCGCCGGAGUUCGCCAUUGCGUAAAACAAAGUUUAAGGCGAGGAAACGUAUUUGCCUGGAGUGAGCGGCGUCGUUGGGGUUCUGGAGGUAGGCGAUAAAUGGUAACCGCCAAUCCUCGUCGAUAGGGUCCAAGGCCGCAACUUCAGGGGUGUCGGCUUGAAAUUGCCCCCUAGCGAUGAAAGAGGGAAGCGUGCGGCGUUCGACUUUGAGCAAACGUUCGCGCACGCCGUCGCGCAGGCUGAGACCGGACGCUACUUGGGCGUGCUCGUUGGCGGCGAAGUUGAACUCACGUGGUAUGUGCUCGAUGUAGACGUCGUCGAAUCGGUCCAACACCUCAAAUGCCUUGCGCAGGUAUGGCUCAAUGGACGAGCUGAAGCACUUAAACUUUUCCACCAGCUGGUUAACGACCAACAAAGAAUCGCCAAAGAUCUGAACCUCGCGGACUCCUAAAUCCAACAAAAUCUCUAGGCCGAUGAUCAGCGCCUCGUACUCAGCCUGGUUGUUGGUGCAUUUGAAAUCGAGCUGGAACGAGUAGGAGAAGCGAUCUCCAGCGGGAUUGGCUAUGGCUAUCCCGGCUCCGGCCGCGGUAUCAGUUCGUGAACCAUCAAAGUACAGGGUCCAUGGAGCGAGUGUCACGGUAGCGAAUUCCAAUUCGCGAAACGCCGUGAGCUCUGAAGGUGGGUGAUGAGCAAGAAAGUCUGCUAUUGCAUGUCCUUUUACUGCAUUUUGACGAACAUAUUGCAACGAGAAUUCGGACAUGGCUAAGAUCCACUUGCCGAUGCGUCCCCGCAGGAUAGGGCGGGAGAGCAUGUAUUUGACCAGGUCGGAUUGAGCGAUCACAACCGUGGUAAAGGCAAGCAUGUAAUGGCGCAGCUUGCACCCUGCAAAAUAUAGGGCAAAACACAACUUUUCCAUAGGGGAGUAUCGUGUCUCGCACUCAGUUAACACCCUGCUAAGGUUAUAGACAGCGUGUUCUACCCCGUUCACAUCGUCUUGGGCCAGGAGUCCGCCGAUGGACAAGUCGACAGCGGCGAUAUAAAGUUUAAGCGGGGUACCGUCGCGAGGAGGGAUCAGGACUGGUGGGUUCGUCAGGUAGUCCUUGAUCCGAUCGAAUGCCUGUUGAUGUUGUGGUUCCCAGACGAACUCGGUUGCCCCCUGGAGCUUGAGGAGGGGUGAAAAAGGCUGGACCUUCCCUGCCGCGUUUGAUAUGAAACGGCGGAGAAAGUUGAUUCGCCCGAGCAGCUGUUGGAGCUCCUUUUUUGUGGUGGGGGGCGAAGCGGUGAUUACCGCCUGUGCCUUUUCUUUUGGGAUUUCGAUGCCUCUUUGAUGCACUAGGAAACCAAGGAAAUCACCGGCCUCCGCAAAGAAAACACACUUGGCGGGGUUCAUCUUCAGGUUAUGUCGGCGCAUCCGUGUAAACACCUGCCGCAGGUCCUCAACGUGGGUUGCCCGUGUUUUGGUUUUGACUACCACAUCGUCGAUGUAUACUUCGAUCAACUUCCCCAAGAUGUCAUGAAAGAUGAGGUUCAUGGCGCGCUGGUACGUUGCCCCCGCGUUUUUAAGUCCGAAAGGCAUGACAACAUACUCGAACGCGCCGGCAAAACCAGGGCAGCGGAAAGCGGUCUUGUGUCGAUCUUCCUCAGCCACGGGAAUCUGAUGGUAUCCAGCCGUCCCAUCCAUAAAGGAUAACACCUCGUGCCCCGCAGCGGCAUCAAUGAGUAGGUCAGCCACAGGCAUGGGGUAUAUAUCCUUCGGUGUUGCGUUGUUUAGGUCGCGGUAAUCAACAUAGACACGCAUCUUGCCAUUUUUCUUGCGAACGGGGACAACAUUGGACAGCCACUCGUUAUACUUUGCCACGCGAAUGAUGCCCGAUCGGUGCAUGCUUUUGAUGACACGACCCACCCCAAAUUUCACCCUGAAACCCGGAGUAAGUCGUGCGGGGACCACCUCCAAGGAAAAUUUACUAAAAAGAUUGAGAAAAUCUCCCUUGCAGAUGGACAACCCUAACUCGAAAAUUCCAAAUUUCACUCUUAAUUCAACACUUCUAAACAUCACAUAAUUUACAAUAAUCCUAAAGUAUUCAGAGCUACUAAACACAAACGGAAGCAAGAAAACAUGAGUAGGUUGAACAGGUAACCUACUGAUGAAAACUGGCAGAAAUGCGGGUGACUAUGCCUCCCCUCCUACUAGAUCCAACCCGAACUCUGUAGACUGGGCAAUUUAAAACGAAAGGCCCAGGGGAAAACAUUUAAUAACAUUAGAGUGAGUGGACAAAAAUAAAAUAAAGGAAAUAAUUCUUUAUGCUUUCCCAAUUUUUACUUUUCCAUAGAAAAGAAAAUAUACUGCAUGCGACAGCUCAAAACACUCAACACAAAAACUGGAAUUUCAUGACUGGCUCCGGCCAGUCUCCAACGCUCAAUAAAAUACAGCCUCUCAGGCUAAAAUAAAAUAUGUAUGUAUUACACUCGUCAUAUCCCUUGUAUGAAUUUUCUUGAAACAACAAAAACAAAUAGAAAAUUCACACAAGGCUACAACGCUUGCAUCUAACGCUCACGUUGCACCAUAAUGGCUAUUUUACCUCAUUAUGGUGGAAAAGACGGUGUAUAAAUAUACGCGCAUAUCCCCUAUAUAAAUUAUUAUUUUUAUACAGGGCUACAACGAUUGCGUCUAACGCUCACGUUGCACCAUAAUGGGAUUUUACCUCAGUAUGGUGGAAAAGCACGUAUAGCUAGCUAGCAUUCUCUCAUAUACAUAUUAUUCUCAUAAUCAUUCACAUAUGAAUAUAUAUAUAUAUAUAUACUCACCGAAAUUCUCAAUUUCGAUUAUUCUCCAACAACAUAAAUUAUUUCGCAUGCACAUUAUUUAAAACAAAAGUCCACUCACAAAUUAGGCCUAAGCCUGAUGUCGAUCUGGGGCCUCGUCAGCUCGAGCCUCCUCACGACCUGUUCCAAAUAUAAUAUUAAGUUCCCAGCCGAAAUUCCAAUAUUUAAUCAAAAUAGGCAAAAUUACCCGAGAGCCAUAAAUACGCUCAUCAUUGCCUAACUUCGAUAAUCUUAAAUUGGAACAAUCCGAACUUAAAUAUCAUACUCAACAGUCGUAAAUACAACCUCUCCAAAAUACGACUUAAAUCCUACGGCCGGAUUCUACAUUAAUUAACCGCCAAAAAUACUAACUUCGGAAAUUCAUAAACCUAUCCAAAACUCAUCCAAAAAUUCCAUAACUCACUUCAAUAAACUCCCCUUAAUAUUCCAAAUUUAACAACAUUAAAAUCUGCCAACCGGCGGCGCCGCCGGCGGCGGCGCCCGGAGACCAGUUCCGGCGACCUCCAAUUCCUAUGAAAUUUUAACAGCAUUUUCCUCUCAUCAUGCUCUACAACUUUCAUAACUAGCACAAACACCAAUUCCAAGCCUAACUAGGGCAAUCGACUAAAAACAUCAAAAACACCAUAAAACUUCCACCUCAAAUUUCUCCUUACCUAGCUCAAGAGGGAGUGAGUCCUUUUAGGGCAAGGUUGCUGGGUUGGAGGGCUACAAAACCAUACCAAGCUUGCCCGGAUUGAUGGCCGGAGGAGGGAGUUCCGGCGAAAUGCUUCCCGGCGUUUCCGGCGGGUUUUCUCCUCUUCCGGCGGGUUAGAGGCUCGGGGGCUAGGCCGGGGAGGGAGAGGAGGAGGUGGGGGUCCGAACUGGGGUGGAGCGGCGGCCGGUGGCUGGCCGGAUGGCGGCAGUUGGCGGCUGGACAGUCCGGCAGUGGGAGGAGAGCACGGGAGAGAGGAGGAAGGGAAAAGAGAGAAGAAGAGAAAGAGAGAAAAUGGGUUGGGCCUCCCAACCGGUCCAAUUCAUAUAUCAACCCACUCCAAAAUAAAACACCCCAAAAAAUAAUACUCGAAUUAAAAAUUACCUUUUACUAGCUAAAAUUUACCAUUUUUACCGUCGUCGUAUUUUCCUCAUACGAAUAAUCCUCCGCACAUAAUCGUCCCCGAAACCCCUCUAGGGACCAAUUAAACUAUUUACUCAUGAUCGAGACGGUAAAAUUCUUAUUAUAAUCACGCUAGUAAAUAAGGUAAAAAUAUAAGGGUCGGGAUGUGACAUUCGAUCUCCUCCUUAACUACGAUCUGAGUGUCAGUUCGCAUGAAUCGGCCGCCCUGCCGUACUGGACGUCGGUCGGGAUAAGUUGGUAACCGAUGGCAGACCAAGUCCGGGGACAAGCCGGGCAUGUCUUCGUAUUUGUCGGCGAAGCAAUCCCUGUAUUCGCGUAACAGGGCCAGAAGGGCUUCCUUUUCGUCUUUCGCCAACUUAGCAUUGAUAGAAAUAAGUAAGGGCUUUUCUGCAGUCCCUACGUCAACUUGUGAAAUGGGGUCGCGGACUUGAGGUGGUGUGUCGUCCAAGGCGGCGGGAGCUAAGUGAAUAACUUCCUCCUUGGUAUCGGAAUAAUCCACCACUUCAUCUACAUAUUCCAUAGUCGCGACCUUGUCGUAGGCUUCGCGUUCUGCCCAGUCGAAAGGAGUCUUUCGCACAAGGACUCGCCAGCCUCGCGUGCCUCCUCUGAGAAGGCACUAUUCAUCAGAACGGGGUGUGGGAUUCGCGAUGGUGUGAGGACGUUGCAAAUCGUCCUUUGCCUGGGUAAGUCCCCAUCGCGUUAGAUUGGAGAUCGUUAUUCCAUAUGGGCGGCCCUUGUUAUCGACGCCUUAAACAUCCAACGGACCCAAGUCUGUAGUAUAAUAUCGGGCAUCAUUGAAGUUGGCGGAGAUAGAGAAUGGCCGCGGGUCGGCUUUGAUGAUGACUGCUUCACGGUUCUCGGUGUCCCAAAUCAUGAGUUCUUGGUGCAUGGAGGAAGGCACGCAGAAACUUCUGUGGAUCCAAUCUCGGCCAAGAAUCAUGCUGAAGGAGGAAGUGCAUUCGGCGACGAAAAAGGUGUAAACCCGUGAUGCCGGCCCGACCUUGACCCGUAGAAAUAGCAAGCCUAGGGUUCUGGACACUUGCCCGGUGAAGUUCUUGACUGUCAAGGAAGUGGUUUGGAUCAUCGAGCGCGGGAUGUCUAGGAGUCCCAUGGUACGGGUUGUGACAACAUUGACCGCGGCACCGGUGUCGACCAUGACUUUGUUGAUCAUCUUUCCUUCGACUUCGGCCGUGAUAUACAGUGGCCGCAUGUGAGUGGCCAUGUCCAAAGUUAGUGUGGAGAAGGUUAGAGUUUGCUUAUGUUUGAUGCUGCUCGUAAUUUCCACCUGUGGGGCGUCGUCGGCCUGUACCGGAACUGGGCCCAUUUCGCUGCUGCAUGGCGGGGGUAUGCUACUGACAUCCUCGCUGCUGACGGGAAUAUCCGCCGCACUGCAGGUUGUGUUCGGUGGAAGAGUGUAUCUUUCCGAAAUGAAGAACACCAUCCCGACUUGAAAGGAGAAUUGUUCAGGGACUGGGACCAGGGGAGUGUCAAUGAUCCCGUGUUCCCCUUCGAGCACCGCGAAAGCAUCUGCUUCGCGGCUAAACCCUUCAUCAGCACCCCAUCCUGAGACCUCUACCAUAUUACAGGUGAAUGAUUCUGCCUGCUCUUCGUCCCGGUUUUCCUCUAGGUUAAGUCGAGGUUCUGAAUGUGCCUCGUCGUCUUCUGAAUUCUCGCGGAAACGCUGGGCCAUUUGUUGGGCGAGGUUAGGACUGGAGGGCGCCUGUGCGGCUAUUGGUGGCUCUUGAGCCUCGGGUUGCCGCGGACGUCAUACUGACUUGGUUGAAGGCUGGUGGUCCUUGGCGGGUUGUUUGUCUGUUGCCAAAGGAGCCUUAUCGCUGUCUUCCUUUUUCAACCGUUGUAGGGCGGAUACUCGGGGAACCAUCCGAGUCUCGGGCUCCGGGGUGGACCGUGUCCGAGGCUGGUGUGGUGGUGGUGGUUCCCUUCUGAUAUUGGCCUCCAGAUUUUGACGUUCCCGUUGCUGUGAGGGCUGAGACGGUUCGCGUUUGGACUCUGGGUCCGGGGUCGUGAACAGUUUACGCCUAGGACCGGUAGGCAGGUCCCUUCUCCGCUCGGGCUCCGGUGACGGCCUGCGCCUGGAAGGCUGUUUUUCCCUCCUCUUUUCAGGCUCUGGUGACGGUUUGGGCCUAGCAGGCUGUGGAUCCAUUCUUCUUUCAGGUUCUGGUGAUGGCUUGCACCUGGAAGGCUGUGGAUCCUGCUUUGGUGGAACCGUGAGUCGGCAAAAGAGGUUUGCUUUGGGUGCAGGCUCGUCGCUGAACUGCUCGCAAAUCCUUGGGGGUGUGACAGGCGGCAUUUGAAGGAAUGCGCGCAAACCCUCUGCUUCCCUCCACAUCCGUUUAGGCGUCUGUGCGAGCUGUGAGGGGCGUACAGCACCCUCUUCGACAGCCCGUAAGGCACGUAGGAUACUACCGUAUCGCUUUUGGAGCUUUCGCUUCUUAGACCUGCUGAUGGUGACUGCCUUGCCCCCUUGCUGUGUGUACCAGACUCCAUCCUUGAUUGCGGAUUUGGACGUCGGGGGAAUAUAGGGGUCGGUUAGGACGCCUUUACGAGGGCUCGAGGCCUCGUUGUUGUGACGCUCACCGCUGGAGUCUGACAUGUCCAUCUCACUUGUGGCAGGGGAUGAAGGUACCGCCUCUGCCCAAUGUGUAUAGACGAACGUCUCGAGACGUUCAAUCCUCCUUUCCAGCGCUUCUUGAGUCCUGGGACUCAUAGGCUGGGGAUCUUCAACGGGGAACGGUCCAUCGUCCCUCAUGACUGCUUUGCCCUUAUCUUUGCGGGAGGGGCGGUCUGGUUCGAGCUUAGCGACCAACUGUCGAGCUGGGUCGUCUGCUUUCCCCUGCUGGUUAUUCGGGACAGUAUAGUUAUUCGCCGGUCGUUUGCGAUUUCGGCCCGGUGGUUCACGUAAACCUGCAUUUGGCGACAAGUCUAAUGUGAUUCUUCGUUGGCUGACUCGAGGCCACGCGAAGUCAGCCAUUGCGAUCAUGAAGUCGCCCUUAUUCUCAAAGCGAAUAUACCCGAGGUCAAGCCAGUCUUGAACUUGGUCUCUAAGCUGCUGGCAUUCGCUGGUUCUGUGUCCCCAGCUAUUAUGAAACUUGCAGUGAAUGCGCCCCUCCUUAUAUUCUAUGUAAGGCAAAGAAUUAGCCACUGUGACGAGCCCAUCGUCGAUGAGAUCGUCUAAAACCUCAUGUGCAAGAUCUUCGUUGUAGGUGUAUUGGCGACGUGGCCGACGGGUACUGUCGUCACCUUCCUCGCGGCCCCUUUUAGGUGCCUGGCGUCGAUCGUCGUCCUUGGUCUGAUUGGCCCAGUUUACAUCAACCAUGCCAACUACAGGCGGGAAAGGGUCUAUAUCAACCAAUGAGGCCAUACUACUCGGUGUUUUCAUCUUUAGCUCGCCUGAGUUCAGCCAUGUCUGCAGCUGGUCUCGAAGCUUGACACAAUCUUUGGUGUCAUGAUUGUAAACAUUGUGGAAGGCGCUGUACUUCUUGUCCUUCAACUCCUCCUUGGGCGGGAUCUUAUGAUCCAGGCGCACAUAUCUCGCCUCUAUCAGGUCAUUAAAGACCAGAUGGGCGUUCUUAGCAUCAUAGGUGUACGACUCGUAUUCUGGCUUGGUCCAUGCAAAGGACUGGAUGGUGAUUGGCUCACGUGUCAUCUUCUAGGUUUUUCAAUUUAUGAGCUAAUGGCUUGCCAGUCAAUUCUACUGCACCGAUGUCAUCCAGGUCCUGAUCCGUAUGAACUCCCUCAGGUCUUUGAUAAUAUGGAUCAUGAGUAGGGGUUUGUAUGUUUAGUNNNNNNNNNNNNNNNNNNNNAUUUGUUUUGUCGUCCAACUUGUUCAGGAUUAGCUCGUAGCUGCCGACUUUGUUAAUCAGGUCACCCAUGGAAUUAAAGCGCUCUCCAUGAUGCUUCAACCGCUGGCGGUGCUCCAGACCUCUAAUAGCCAACUUAAUGGCUUCCUGCUCAGGUAGCAGGUAAUCACACUUGGCUUGCUGGAUUUUGAAGCGUUGGAGGAAAGAAACUCCGGACUCCAUACUCUGCUGGCUCAUCUGUGUGAGGGAGUCGAGGACAACUUCAGGCUCAAUCGUGCCGUACGUUUCUCGGAAGAGUCUUUCCAUAGUGGGCCAAUCUGCUAUUGACUCAGGCUUCAAUCUGGAGUACCAGGUGAAAGCAGCCCCGGACAGAGAAGUCCCGAAGAGUUUGAGUUUGAGCAUAUCAUCAUUCCCGUAUUGGCCGUAUUGGACCUUAAAACGGGCCAUGUGUGUUGCUGCAUCUUCUCUUGUUUCCCCGGAGAAAGUGGUGAAGACAAUAUUCUUAAACCCAUGGGGGAAAGGAUAUUGUGCCACGCUAUCAGGAUAGGGGUCACGAUAAUGCAAGCUAACAUCACCUUUUCCGGUUUGCUCCUUGACUAUGCUCGAGAUAAGCUGGCGCCAAUUGGCUGCCGUUACCGGUGUGGCUUCUGCCCCCUGAUCGUGGUCGUGCCAUGCAGAGAGGCUAGGGGCCUGCACGAUGUUCUUAGGGGUCGAACUGGAAUAAGCUAUAACCGGGUCAUCUGGUGUCCCGAUCCCUUGAGAUGGGAAGACACCAGUGCUCCUGAGUGUGACUCCAGGGCCUCCCGGCGAGGGUAGACGGGGUGGCGUCUUUGACGAACUGGCCCCCAAUGUGAAUUGGGGAGUCUUCUGGGCCCCGACCUUGGAUUUCCUCUAGGGCGUUCAUUAGGUGGAAUAUACCUUGAGCCUUCAGUUGCACUUGAACUAAUAGCAUGAUUCUUUGGCGCCUGAGACCGCAUCCAGUCUUCCACUUNNNNNNNNNNNNNNNNNNNNCGAUACUCACUGUUCGAAGCGAGCAGAGCAACAAUUGGGAAAGAGAGGCGAGUCCAGACGGGCUCUGAGAUCUAAGGCGAGGUGCACUUAGAACUUAGGGUUUCGAGGAUGCUCGAAGAUUUGCAGUUGUUUUGUAUGAUUGAUUGUGUGUGUAGUGUGCUAAACCAGAUCCUCGAACUCUCUUAUAUAGCGAUCCGUAAGCAAUUCGCAGAGACCUAAUCACAAAUCCAUUCGGACUCAGCAAUUAGAAUUCCACCAGGAAACGACUAGCUCGCAAGCCGCGCGAUCCAUGCAACACGUGUCCAAAACAGACUUCGCCUAGGUCUCGCUCACCGCCCCGCAUCAUAUCACUGUAGCGUCGUACGCGAACUCGAGCACUAAGCGAUCCUAUCCCGCGGGUACUACAGUCCAUUUCCAACUCUACAUCGCCAUGCACUGUAGAAACCUACACGAACUAGAACAAAGGAUCCCGCGAGGACAUCGAAUCCCGCGAGGUAUUAGAAUAUUUGCAAAACUCCAACUCGCGUGUUGCCAGACUUCGCCACCCUUCGUGGGCUUCGCAUUAAAAAAGGGCCACAGGUACUGGCCCAAAUGUUAUCCAAAACCUACCCCGAGUCUUGGACCAAAAAUACCCACUGGGCUCAAACAUUAAGAAGAUUACUCAUUCUAGAAGAAUUCGAUUGAAUCUAGUCAUCUAGACCUGAUGAGAUGUAAGCGUAUGCUUCGUUCUUGUGUCCAGAUUGCUAAGGCAAAACCUGUUCUGCUCAGCUAGGUGAUCGAUAACAUUUAGGCUAUAGCUCAUCAUCAUCACCAUUAUCUAUCUUCCAUGACUUGUUCGAUCUGAAACCCUAGCUCGUUUCUUUCUCUAUUUGUCGUGAAUAUGAUCGAUAAUCCAUCGGUGGGUACUUAAUUUCUAGUCAUUGCAGUUACGUACUCAGCUGUACUCCUCCAACAACGACCUCCCUUUCAUUUUCAUUUCAAAAUCGUACGGCUUUGAUUCUGGCGGUGAUGAAGCCAAGCCACUACCUCAGAAAUCUGUCGCUGCAUGCUAGGUUUCCAUAUUCGGCAAACAACACAGGUUUCCUCAUUAGGUUUUAAAGUAAAGAAUGGCCAGUUUCUGCCAAUGAUGAACAUUAUUAGGGUUUAGGCUACAUGUGAUUGACCGUACCUCUGCAGAAUCAGCACCGCCGUCAACCACCGUACCCUAAGUCCCCUAACCCUCGCUUCUAGAAGCCGCUAUGGCCGUCAAGUCAGGCUUGAGGCUUCGACUUGUCUCUAAAGACACAGGCAUCCAAGUUUUCCAAUCUCUCUUAUAUUCUCCGAUGGCAAUUACGACAAACCGUCCUCGUCAGAUCACCACCAACCUUUACCUCCUCGGUCGUAUUCAUGACGACGGCGACGACCCCACAACCAAACAAAGAAGACAACAACUUUGACCAGGCCUGGUCGUAUAGUUAUAUACCGCUCAUACCCAGGAGAAAGCAAAGCGGUAUGACACGUCAUCAUUUUGUACCCAAAAACAGAUCCCACCACCAGACCCGUGAUUCAAUUUUUUUUCUUUCUUUUUUGUUCAAAUUUAAAAAAAAUUGGAGGGAAAGAGAUGAACAAGGUGCAGCUUUCAUUUCUGGGGAACUACUACAUUAGGAAACACGGUACUUCUCUUCUUUUAGUUUGUUUUUGCCUUUCUGAGUAUGUACAUGAAUUAUAAAAAGCACCGGCCGAGUUGUGCUUCAUGUCCCACCAACAACAGAUAAAAAAAAAAUACAGAGCAAAACAGGGGAAAAAAAAAAAACAGAAACUCUACUACUGUGGCUACUGCUGAUGCACAGAAUUUAUGCAGCAGCGACGACUGACA